GACGAACGCUGGCGGCGUGCUUAACACAUGCAAGUCGAGCGGUAAGGCCCCUUCGGGGGUACACGAGCGGCGAACGGGUGAGUAACACGUGGGUGACCUGCCCUCAGCUCUGGGAUAAGCCUGGGAAACUGGGUCUAAUACCGGAUAUGACUCCAUGACGCAUGUCGUGGGGUGGAAAGCCUUGUGCGGCUGGGGAUGGGCCCGCGGCCUAUCAGCUUGUUGGUGGGGUGAUGGCCUACCAAGGCGACGACGGGUAGCCGGCCUGAGAGGGCGACCGGCCACACUGGGACUGAGACACGGCCCAGACUCCUACGGGAGGCAGCAGUGGGGAAUCUUGCGCAAUGGGCGAAAGCCUGACGCAGCGACGCCGCGUGAGGGAUGACGGCCU
rnacentral:rRNA from 1 species